rnacentral:rRNA from 1 species
UGCCAGCCGCCGCGGUAAUACGGAGGGUGCGAGCGUUAAUCGGAAUUACUGGGCGUAAAGGGUGCGUAGGUUGUAUUAUAAGUUAUCUGUGAAAUACCCGGGCUUAACCUGGGGGGGUCAGGUAAUACUGUAGAACUGGAGUAUAGGAGAGGGUAGUGGAAUUUCCGGUGUAGCGGUGAAAUGCGUAGAUAUCGGAAGGAACACCAGUGGCGAAGGCGACUACCUGGCCUAAUACUGACACUGAGGCACGAAAGCGUGGGUAGCGAACAGGAUUAGAUA